rnacentral:rRNA from 2 species
GAUGGAGCAACACCGCGUGAGUGAAGAAGGGUUUCGGCUCGUAAAACUCUGUUGUUGGAGAAGAACGUGCGUAAGAGUAACUGUUUACGCAGUGACGGUAUCCAACCAGAAAGUCACGGCUAACUACGUGCCAGCAGCCGCGGUAAUACGUAGGUGGCAAGCGUUAUCCGGAUUUAUUGGGCGUAAAGCGAGCGCAGGCGGUUGCUUAGGUCUGAUGUGAAAGCCUUCGGCUUAACCGAAGAAGUGCAUCGGAAACCGGGCGACUUGAGUGCAGAAGAGGACAGUGGAACUCCAUGUGUAGCGGUGGAAUGCGUAGAUAUAUGGAAGAACACCAGUGGCGAAGGCGGCUGUCUGGUCCGCAACUGACGCUGAGGCUCGAAAGCAUGGGUAGCGAACAGGAUUAGAUACCCUGGUAGUCCAUGCCGUAAACGAUGAGUGCUAGGUGUUGGAGGGUUUCCGCCCUUCAGUGCCGAAGCUAACGCAUUAAGCACUCCGCCUGGGGAGUACGACCGCAAGGUUGAAACUCAAAGGAAUAGACGGGGGCCCGCACAAGCGGUGGAGCAUGUGGUUUAAUUCGAAGCUACGCGAAGAACCUUACCAGGUCUUGACAUCUUGCGCCAACCUCAGAGAUGAGGCGUUCCCUUCGGGGACGCAAAGACAGGUGGUGCAUGGUCGUCGUCAGCUCGUGUCGUGAGAUGUUGGGUUAAGUC